UGUGUUGAGGGGCGCGUUGGGGGCGGAGCCCGUAGUCUUCUAUGGAAAUAAAAGCCCGCGGUUUGCUCUGAAACGAAACUGAGGUAAAGUCUGUGAGGGAGUCGGUUCAUCUCGGUUCAUCUCGGUUCAUCGCGGUUCAUCACGUCAGCUGUAAUGACAGGAGAAACCAUCAGAUCUUAUAAAGAUGCUGCUGCCUCUCGUUUACCUGCAGACUUUAAUAAAACUCUGCCUACAGAUCCAAAAUUGCGGCAGCUAAUGAACUCCCUGAGAGUAGUUUUGGCUCAGCAUCCGGAUGGCAUCAGUCUGAACAAAGCUCGCCGGUCCUGUCCUCUUCUCUCAGACUCCGAGAUGCUGAAGGACCAUCAGUCCGUCCGACACCUGCUCCUGUCCCUGCCGCAGGUCGUGCGUAUGGAAGGGUUCGGUGUUCAAACACACCUCUUUCCUGCUGCCAAAAAUUAAACCUCUUUUCCACUCCAAUGAUUUUACAUCAAAUCCUCAGUGAGAACACUUUUUACUGCGUUAGUGAUAAAACACACCGUGAAGCGGAGAAACCUUUUUCUUUUCCCCAAACAGCACCAAGUCUUAUUAAUGUUUUAUUUAUUAACAACCAUCAUGCGCUUCAUCUGUUUACUAUUUAUUAUACAUACAGCAUUUAAUGAUGUGGAAGUUUUACAAGCUGCAACACAAAGACUUAAUUGUUCAGAUUAAAUUGUGUAUUUAUUAAAACACUAAUAUACAAUGA